GACGAACGCUGGCGGCGUGCUUAACACAUGCAAGUCGAACGAAGUGGCGCACGGGUGAGUAACUCGUAAUCAACCUGCCCUUCAGAGGGGGACAACAGUUGGAAACGACUGCUAAUACCGCAUACUGUCGUAGGGGAUUGCGUCUGAUUAGCUAGGUGGGGGGGGAACGCCCCACCAAGGCGAUGUUCAGUAGGCGGUCUGGGAGGAGGAACGGGCACAUUGGGAAUGAGAAACGGCCCAGACUCCUACGGGAGGCAGCAGUGGGGAAUCUUCCGGAAUGGACGAAAGUCUGACGGAGCAACGCCGCGUGAGUGAUGACGGCCUUCGGGUUGUAAAGCUCUGUUAAUCGGGACGCGGUACCGGAAUAGAAAGCCACGGCUAACUACGUGCCAGCAGCCGCGGUAAUAC
rnacentral:rRNA from 1 species